GAGAGAGACGAUUUUACGGUUGUUUUGUUUGUUUCCUCUUCUAUGAUAAAAAUCCAAAAAAACUAAAUUUGUGUUUUUUGUCUUUGUUUUUGUUUUUGAUUUUCGAGAGAAAAAUGCAGACUUGAAAAGAAACGAAAAGAAAAGACCCAAUUUUUAUUGUGAAGGAAAAGAAGAAAAAAAAAAAACAGAGUUCUGUUACAGUUUUCCCGGAAAACUGAAAACUUUCUCGGGAAAUUUGGUUGAAAGAGAGGGAAAAAAACAAGUGGAUACAAAACAGAGAGAUGAAGGCGUUUAUAUAUAAAUAAGGAGAUGAGAAUUGGAUUGCUUUUUCUUGAAAAUAUUCUUUCUUUUACUUGAUCAAAACCCUCUGUUUUGGGUUUUUUGUUUCUUCAUUCUUUCUUUAAUUUUAGAAAACGAAUUAAAAUAGUAGUAAAUUUCAGUAAAUUAAUAUAAAUAAAAAGAGAUAAGACCAAUUGGAGAAAAGAGAAGGUUCUGUCUGAAUUCAGGAAAAUUAAAAAAAGAAAAGAGUAAAAGUGUGUAUAACAACAAACACCUAAUCAAAGAUUAUCUCAAAGUUUGACGAUUUUCCUCGUCCACCGCAGCUCAUGAUCCUCACGUGGUUCCCUUUUUUGUUUUUUUUUUUAAUGUAUUGUUGUUAAAACUUAUUUCGAUUAGAAGAUUUUUUUUUAAAAA
rnacentral:lncRNA from 1 species